UACGAAGGGGGCUAGCGUUGCUCGGAAUCACUGGGCGUAAAGGGUGCGUAGGCGGGUCUUUAAGUCAGGGGUGAAAUCCUGGAGCUCAACUCCAGAACUGCCUUUGAUACUGAGGAUCUUGAGUUCGGGAGAGGUGAGUGGAACUGCGAGUGUAGAGGUGAAAUUCGUAGAUAUUAGGAAGAACACCAGUGGCGAAGGCGGCUCACUGGCCCGAUACUGACGCUGAGGCACGAAAGCGUGGGGAGCAAACAGGG
rnacentral:rRNA from 1 species